GUGCGGAUGGCGUGCGGCAGGAGGCGGCGCUGCCCACGACGGUCCUCGCUCCAGGCUCGCGCAACCGGGCUCUCGGCGCGCUCGCCGCCGGCGGCCGAGUCGGGGGAGACGCCGAGGGGCGGGAGCGGCGCGGCCCGGCCCGUGAUUGGCCCCGCUCGCCCCGGGGGCGGGGCCAGGAGGAGCGGCACGAGCGGGUUGCGAAGGGGCGGGAGCGGAGAACUUUCUAGAGAAGCGGUUAAACGGGUUGGGGCUCUUGGGCCGAGGGCACCCGAGGUUUUUUUCUUUUUUUGGGGGGGGGGGGGGAUUUGUUUUUCUGGUGAUGGCUCCGGGGGGCGGCCUCCUCUCCCGCUCCGGGGCCUCUCGGAUGUCAGUGAUCAUACCCUUCCCCACGUCCUCCUCCCCACCCCCACCCCGCCGGAGUCGAGCCGAUUUUUCCAGAUCCUUCUCCAUCCUCUGGACUCCCAAGUCCGGGCCUGCCUGCCGGCCCGCCCCGUGCACCCAGCCCCGCAGCGUAGUAUCUGGAGCCGGAGCCAGGCAGCCAGAUGCGAGCGAUCGGACCCCAGGCACCCGUGGCGUGGGCACCUAAGCCAUGUGGGGAUUCGAGGCCGAGGGAGUGAAGGCCCGGGUGCACAAACUGUGGGACACAACAGCUUUGUCCUCCCCGCAGCCUGGCAGCCCCGCCGGAUGAGCUGCCUUCCAAAAUUCCGUGAGCAGGGGGCCUUGGAAGUGGGGUACGUGUGUGUGGUGUGUGGAAGCACUUCCUCCCACCAUACUAACCAGCCUUUUUUUGUUAGUGGUGGAGCACGAAGUGGUUUGAGCUCACGAGGGGAAAAAAGUCCCCUUUCCCUUUUUACCAAAGGUGGACAGACAGAAAGGAAUUUUUUUCAUCGCAGCCGCCGCUCCUUAGUGAUACCUGUGGAGUUGUAGUUACUGCAACAGCGCUGGCGAGAUCGGAAGAUCUGCCUGGCGAGGUCCUGACUCUGCCCAGCACUAUAGUACCACAGAUACACAUAGCGCCUGAAUGACAACACAGAAGAGAGAGAAACCAUUAAAAACGAAAGGAUUCGUCAGUGAAACAGAAAUGGAAGCUAGAAAAGGUGGAACGAAUUUCCCCAGAAUGAAAACAAAAAAUGCAAGGCGCUAAAGACGAUGACAAAAGCCUUCAACAAAGAGGAAUGAUGGGAAAUGCAAACAGGAGUCAGGUGGGAGAAGCCGGCCCGUUCUGCCUCCUGGUGGUGUGACUCGGAACGCUGUGUGUGUCUUUCCAGGUCGGGAGUCAGCAUGCACAGUAACGGGUUUCAGUGUGGCCUUUCACAUGUAGAUGUCACUGUCCUUUGUUCUUAUGCCUACUGCUCUCUCCCACCUCUCUCCUCCUUCUCAUUGUCCUCUUCCUUUUCCCAAAUGGUUUCCCUUUCUGCUCUCAUCUCCUGUAGAGACACAUGUAUACAUUUAGAUUCCACACAUGAGAGAACAUGUAGUAUUUGUUCAAGUCUGGCUUAUUUUGCUUAGCAUAAUCUUCAGCUCUAGCCAUCUUCCUGUAUGGUUGAAUACCAUUUCACUGUGCAUAUCUAUCACAUUUUUAAGUGCGCCUGUUGCUGGACCCUUGGCUACUCGACCGUUUAGGGGUUGUGAAGAGUGCAGCAGUGAGCUCGAACUCCUUCGUAAGGUUUAGCAUCCUCUUCGUUGGAUUUAGCAUCCCCGUCAUUGUUUUGCUGCUACUUUAAAUGCCUUCAAAGAUUUUCUGUUUACUGCUGGUACAGAAAAUGCACUUUUGUGUUGGAGAGGUGUUUCAGCUGUUAAAGACUAGGCUCAGAACCAAAAUGCCAAAAUGCAUUUUAUUUGUUUUAUGCGAAAUUUUCAUAACAAAACUUACUGUGUAACCAUUAUUACUGUUUUUAUGUUUUGGAAGUGAGAUCUCACCAUGUAUCCCAGAGUGGCCUCAAACUUAAAAUCCUUAUGUCUCUGCCUUACAAAUGCUUGGCUUAAAGUUCUGUACUACCAUGCCUGGCCAUUUUUUUUUAACCAUUCCCAAGUAGACAGUUCAGUGGCAUUAAAUACAAGGAUGUACAAUCGUCCUUUUUUUUUUUUAAAAAAAAAAAAAAAAACAAAACACAGAAUCUUGUAUAGCCCAAGCUCGCCUUGAAAUUUUGGUGUGGUCAAGGGUGACCUUGAACUUCUGAUUCCUCUGCUUCUUCCUCCCGACUUCUGGGAUUACAGGUGUGCACCACCAUACCUGGCUUCUUAUUGUUCGCCCUAGGGUCUCGUUGGUCUCAAGCUCAUGUCUCUUUUCCCCUGAAUGAUGGUAUUAUAAGCACCCUCUACCACAGUUCUUGUUUUAAGCAACAUGCUUGUGGUAAUUUGUUGUAUCUGUUGUACGUAUAGCAUUCAGGGUUUAGCAAAGGCCAUGGGCUGAGUUAUUGAGACUCUGAGUUCGUGUUGUUUUAGUCUACCAUAUUGUUUGCAGUGUCCUGGGGACAACAGGAGAAAGCCACCCCAGGGUGUACCUGAGCAUCUGUGCACAUCAGCGGAUGAGGCUCAGAUGGAUAAACUGCUGUUUGAAUUGAAGGCGAGAAUUCUGAGGCGGAGUCUGGUAGAUGCUGGGAGCCGAGAAACCGGCCUCCGAGGCGUGUAGGUUGUAUCACGUGGCUGAAUGGAGAGGAAAGAACACUGAGGAAGACAACUCUCUUCAGCUCCGUCUCCUCAGGCAAACACGCUGGGCUCUUUGUUAUGGGAGAAUGGCCCCACCUAGUUCCGUGAGCCAAGCUGAUUCUGUCAAAGAAGAGUGGGAAUCUGGGAAGGCAAGGCCACCUCCUCCUUGGACUCUCUGGCUCAUUUGAUUGCUUAGCAUGUCCCAUCCCUUCGACCACCUGGUGCUGGCUCACUGAUACUGUAGGAAGAUGGUGUGAGGAGGCUUGUUGCUUAGUCUUAGUAAUGUCCUACCUUGUUAUUCUGUAUCCUAAAAAGGCAGAGACCUGGUUGGACGUGAGGUGGGGGCAGGACAGUAGCACAAGGCUCCAGAGUACACUGUUGUGUGGAGCCUGGGACAGUAUAGCGUUGUCCUCUGUACCCCUCCUGCCCUGGUAGUACAGUACUCAAGAGCGGGAUUGUGGGCUGGGUGCCUACCCAUGUCCCUUUGCUUCAGGAUCUCUGACUGAGGCUUCAGGUCUGGGACUCCAGGAUGCCUCCAGACCGGUGGGUAGUGAUUUUUCUGUUUUCUUUCCUUCUAUCUUCUCUUGGGAAGCUCAAAAUCAGUGUCUUCCAGGAAGACCGCCCUGAUUGCUCCACCCCACCAUGGGCUCUUUUCUCUGCUGCAUAUGUGUGGUGUUCCGUGACGGUCAUUACAGUUCAGUUUAUCAUGGGGCCGGUGCUCACAUGUUCUUCACUUGUCACAGAGUUAUGGGUGGGGUGCGUGUCUUGCUUUCUAAUAAGACUACCAACUUCCUGGGCUCAACUAAGACGACUGGGGCUUUGGAAGCCCAGAAACAGCUGCUGUCUGGAACAGGUUUCUGCCUGCUAGGGUGGAUUUCUGCGGGUAAGGUGGCCAUCGCAGGCCCUCGUCUCUUCAGCAUACUCUCCUUUCAUUCAUUUGUUCUGUAAGCAAACAUCCCCUUUACCGAGUUCCCUGUGUGAGAGGUGAAGCAUUCAAAGAUGGAUGCUUGGCAGUUCCUCUGUAUUUGCCUUGGGCGCCUCAAUUGCACUGGAGCGUUCACUUCCUCUGCGCACUUGGUUUCUGUUAGGUCUCCAACCGGGGACAGAGGGCUCACUGAGAUGCCUAUUAACAUAUCAAAGCAGACACUGGCGGCCAAGUUCUCCCAGCAUCCCUCAGUCCCUACCUGUUAGGGAGUUCUCCUGGCUGCCAUACCCUGCGCACUACCCUGAACUCUCCAGCCCAACCAACUGCUGGGCUGGGCUUCCCUCCCGCUAGCUCCUCUGGCCCCCAUAUAACUGGCCAGUUUUAGCAGCAUGUGUCUCUUGGCCAGUUUCUUGACCCAGGCCGCCCUUUUUGGUCAGAGGCUCUUCUUUUUGCUCUCCCUCCUCUCCUCACAUGGCCUGGCUCUGUCUGCCUCGUUCACUCGGGACUCUCCCAGAUGUCUCCAUCUCUACCUGCUGUCUCCCUUAUAUCUAUAAUACAAACCUCAACCCCUUAGGAGCAGUCAUGUCCUCCUUUUAUUUCUUUUUUUCAUUCAGUUCACAGAUAAUGCAUCCAAUCCCAAGCUGCUUCCUAAUCCAUUGUCUGUGUUAGGUGUUAGGCAAAUUUCUAGACACUUAGAUCUGCUGCUUCUCAUCAGAAAGAAGCACGUGAAAUCACAUGACUUGUUGAAACUGGGGAGGUCCUAAUUGGUAUCUGGAUUUCCACCAAAAGCUAAAAAACCCAGAACACCAAAGACAGGCUAUUCUACCAGAAGGGGCUGAGUUUAAAUAGGAAGGAGCUAGUGGUUUUAGGGUCUUCACAUAUGAGCACAAAUCACAGUGUACAGUGACUCCUUCUUAAAGCAGCAGAGACGGAGUAGCGAUGAUGACAGGAUGUAGGGAGGAACACGGGACAAUCCAGUCUGCUGUUUGGUGGGGCAGGGUCUUCUGUCAAUUACAGAGCCAACUUGUGACACCCUGAACACCGAAAUGGGGAGCUGACCAAUCUGGGCCGCCAACCACUCAUCCCAACUUGUCUUCAUCAGUUGCCCCAGUCACUUUGGCUCAAGCCAGGGGAGAACCCAGGUAUUCCUACACGGCUUUCAGAUCGCUAGACAGAUGCCAGUCUGCAGUCCAAAGGUGGAUAAUGUGCAAGCUGGCGGGUAGAGGAAGAUGGGGAAGGGUUGAAUCUAGAAGGGCAGAGUGAUGUUCUCUAGUCCACCUAAUUUUUGAGUUAGUUGCUUAGUGUGAUAGGUUUCUCCUUUCACAUUUGUCUUAAAAAUAUAUACAGUGAUUUGUUUCAAACAAAAGGAAAAAUCAGUCUUUCUCUCCCAUUGUCCUUUUGUCUUCUUUAAAAGAAGUUUCCAAAUCUUUCUGGAAAGCUUAAAUCCAAGCGCAGCAGUAAACUGAUUUGGGUUUGUAGCUCUUAGGAGGUUGACACUAAUCUGUGACAGUCACAACUUGGUUGUUAACAGUCACAUGACAACGGUAUAUUUUUGUUGUGUGAAAGCCAUUAUGAGAACAGAAAGAAGUCUCCUGGAGUCUGUGGUCAGUUAGCUUAGAACCUGUGGGGAGCAUGCAGACAGGAGCUGGUGAUCCUGGCAACAUCAUCUGAUAAGAGCAGUGAAUGUGUAGCUCUACCCUGGAAAGAAAGACUGCGAGGGGCGUGUGACUCCACCCAAGGAGGAGCACACCUAGUUCAUCUGGAGGGAGAAAAUGUCUUCUUCAUUCUCCGUGUUGCAAUAACCAGACCCAGCAUCUGUCUGGGAUGAUAACAUGUAUAAUGGUGAACUCAUCCCUCGUCAGUUUCCCACAGAGUGCUCCACAUGUUUCUAUGUCACGGGCAGGGUUAACAUUGGUGAACUGGGGAAGCUUGACAGAGCUUCAAGGUACCGUCCGUGCAGUGUGGUCCACUGAUGAUGGGAACAUUUCUGGGUUGCUCAGCACUCCAGGGCUUAAAGACUUGUCUACCACUGGUGACCUAGCUAGCCUUAUGGCUGUGUUACAGUCUGAAGCCUGUGGAUAACACCCAGGUUGUGAAUGCUUAUCCGGGGCUUUUCUAAGUCUGGCCCCUGUGGCCCUCCGGGUCUGGAUUUAUCUUGAUAAGCUCUUGCUCAAUUUUUAGUCACUCUUUUUCCAGCUCCUGGUUCUGGAUCAUCUUCUCAAAGGCAUGGAACUGUUUCUGUUCUAACUGAUGCAGCUUUUGCUCUUUCCCCAGCUGGGCGGCCAUGUUCUGGGAAAAUUCUAACUCUUCCUUCUUCUCUUCAUAUUUUUCACAUUCUUUGGUGUGUGUUUCCAAACUGUUUCUGGUUCUUCUGCCUGGAGAAAAGCAAGUUCUUUAAUUUCUUGACUGUGUCUUCUCAGGAAUGACAACUACUUUGUCAUCCCGCUACCUGGGGACUUCUCUAUGAAGGACUUGAUGUACUUGCUAUAGAGGAUAAAGGCAUGUUCAACGUUGCUUUCUUCAGAGUAAAUGGAUGCCACGUGGAUGACUUGAACUCCAGAGUGGAAGUACUGACAGGGUGCAAUAUUGAAUUGCACUGUAUUCUCAAGCUUCACCCUGUCUUUGGGUGGAAGGGUGAUAUUUCCAUGGUCAGGCCUCAGGACCAAAAGCUUCUGAUUCAGAUUUCUGCCUUCAGAAUACAGCCACAUUGGAAGAGUCUGUUGUUUCAAGUUCCAUUGUGUUUGAAGACAAGUAUCUGCUGACACAGAUACUGUCAACAUCAGAUAGAAACCAUACAGUAAUAUGGUUUGUCUGGGUCGCUGAAGCCGAAUAGCAUGUGUGUCCAGUAUGAGGUCUGGUCACUGGUCACUUGGGAUGAUCCAAAUUUGUUUAUGGACAACUACAUGGAAACUCCAAAGUUCUAACAGAUGCUGAUAGGUUUGGAGGGAGAAUGAUGUCGUAAAGCAGGCAGUAGCCAAUAGGAAGGUCAGAUUCCUAGCCAGAAAAUGGGUUGGGGGUGGAGAGAAUGGCAGGAGAGCUGCAGCUACCCUGAAUGGCUGGGUCUAGGCGGGUGAAAGCCUGCAAGGCAGUUACGACAAUCCCUCUUCCCUCCCUUGUUAGGUUAGGGAGAUCAUCUCUGCGUUUCUUAUACAUAUUCAUUAACAAAGUUACUUAUAAUUUGCAGGUGAUAUUUUCAUGUGGUUCCCCACACGAUGUCUUGAGGAGAGAUGGGAAAGGAGGUACUUGAACUGAGUCUUGGAAGAUGAUAGGUGUUUCUUAGUGCACAAAUCUAGGAAGGGCAUCCAAGGCAGGCCAGAGCACAGCAUUACAACACGUUUGGCUAUUUAAAGAGAUAGGAAAUUUAUCCUGCGCCAAAGUGCCUCACUUUAUCCCACUUCAAAGUUCUCUCUUUUGAAGUGGACUGUCUAUUUUCAGUAUUAAAGUCUUUUAUUCUUUGGAACCUGAAACUUGAAAAGGAUUCUACAGGCUUCCUUCCACUUUCUGAUUGGAUUUGAGACCCACUCCACAGAAGGGAAUUCACUACAAUAUACUACAAACCUGAUCAAAAGCCCAAGGCAGAGAAGGUCCUAGACAUGAGUCGGGGGAGUUACUUAAGAUGUUUGAACAUGAUGUGCCCAUCAAAUGCUUUUCAUGUGUUUGUGUUCAUGUCCAUAGAUCAGUGCUGCUGUUUGCUUUCAUCAGAGAAGCAUCUCUUUGCUCUGGGCAGCAGUUAGUGAAGAGGCUCACACAUACCUGGUCAAGAAUCAGAGACUCUUUGGGAUGCUCAGCCCUAAAUGGGGCAUUUGUAUCACCCCCUCCAAGGCUCAGGGAACAUUGCGGAAGAGGGGCCGGAAAGAAUGUAAGAGCCAGAGGAAGGGGUGGAGUGAUGGAGAGUACUGUCUUCCGGGCAUGACGCGGCUGUUGUCCUUUCUGACUUACAGCAGCUCUGAUUACCUAUACAAAACCUGCAUACGAUUUAGCCCUGCCAGUCCCUGAGGACAUAUAGGCAGUUAAGGGUUGCUAGGGGAGAGGGUCUCAAAAGGCACUGCCUUUCCCUGAGGAUCUGUGGCCAAUUAGUGGGACCCUUUCUCUAGUGGUGUAGCUACUAGUAAGUUGUCCUGCUCCUGUAAUGACCCUAACUGAGCUCAUUGAUUGACAGAAGGGGAAGUAGGAGGAGCACUGUUGAAAAGAGGAAGAUGAUCAGUAGGAGAGAGUGGGUUCAUGGGGGUGAAUGUAGUCAAAAGUAUAUUGUAUACAUGAAUGAAAAUGUCCAAGGGAAACCUACUGUUUUGUUAUUAGCAUAUUAAUAUAUGUUAAUAAAAAUGAAACUAAAACAACAACCAAGCAAACAACCUGGCCUACUAAGAAGAUGCCCAUAUGGGGCUUAAGCCUUUCAACAUCGGAGGAGACUGUUAAAAUAGGACAUGUUGACUAGGGAUGUAGCUCAAUGAGGGAAUGUUUAUCUAGCAUGGACCUUUGUCCUCAGAACUGCUAGAGAACUGCUUUAAAUGGCAGACAUGGUAACGUGUUUCGUCUCGGCUGUGGAAUGUAGCCCGAAGUCCUUGGAAGAACACAAGAGCUAUCUACUACACCGUCUGGAUGUUACUUUUUUGAUGGAUCUCCUUCCUUUUUGUCUGCAUUCAUAUAUGUGUCUAUGUGUGCAUUCACACAGAGAUGUAUGUGUAGUAUACAUAUAUUCUGGCUCUAUGACUGUGUAUAUGUACACAUAUAUUCACAUGUGGCCAAUGUGUAUAAAAUUAUAUACAUGUC